UACGUAGGGGGCUAGCGUUGUCCGGAAUCAUUGGGCGUAAAGAGCGCGUAGGCGGCCCGGUAAGUCCGCUGUGAAAGUCCAGGGCUCAACCCUGGAAUGCCAGUGGAAACUGUCGGGCUAGAGUACGGAAGAGGCGAGUGGAAUUCCUGGUGUAGCGGUGGAAUGCGCAGAUAUCAGGAGGAACACCAAUAGCGAAGGCAGCUCGCUGGGACGUUUACUGACGCUGAGGCGCGAAAGCGUGGGGAGCAAACAGG
rnacentral:rRNA from 1 species